rnacentral:lncRNA from 1 species
GCUUCUGCGACCAAGCGUGCGGCGCGGCGCGGCGCGGGACUGCUGCGCAGACUAUACGCGGGUCUGCCCAGGUGCACCCGGGGAAAGGCAAGGCACUAGCGGAACGCUCGGAGCGGAGGGGAGCUGGGGCGGGGGAUGAGCGGAGGAAGGGAGCCCAGCACCUAGGGGGCUCUGGGCUUGGAGGGGUCACACGAGCCGAGGGCGGGGCGCGGCGCUUGGGGACUGGAAGGGUGCGCCGCGGGGCAGACGGGACGUGCAGGGGGUCGCGCGGGCAAGGAGGGACGCAGACACUCAGGACCUAAAGGGGAAGCACUGGCUGUGGAGCUGCGAGCCGAGAAAGACGCGCAGGUUAUGAACCUGGGUGCGUUCAUCUCGGGGGACCUGAAGGAGAGGGACUCGUGGAGAGUUGAGGGGUGUUUCGGAGGAGGGGCGCAAGGACUGCUCACAGGACUUGAAGGGCGGCAGGAAGGUGGAGGAUUCGGCCCAGGUGCGGGACGCAGGCGGUGGA